UANGGCAGAACAUACAUGCAAUGAACUUAAAAUUCAUUUAUAAAGAUUAAUCUUUUUUUAGAAAUU
rnacentral:tRNA from 1 species